AAACUGAGUUCAAGGCUGAAGAAGGUUACAUGGUUUACAGAAUAUCCUUAUUUUCUUCUAAAUCAGUUGUCUGAUGAUAGAAAUGACUCCUUGAACACAAGAAAGGGAACAAGAAUAUCCUUGGAAUUUCAAAUAAUCCCUUGAAGAAAAGAGCAAGACCUAAGGGAAUAGCAUACGUAUGCUUUGAUGGGUGAAAGCAAAAGGAAUUAGAAAAAGAUAUGAGGCUCAUUACUUCAUGAGAUUGCUAACCGCUGUCUUCAAGAGAAGAAAAUGAUAUGAUAUAAUCUGAGAGGGAAAUGAACACAGGCAUAUCUCACUCAAUUGGAUCAACUUGGGUCAGCCUUAACUAGCAUAAAAUAGCAUAAAAUAAAAAUGCUAUUGUGUUACUUUUAAGUGUGUAUAGUUUUCAACCUAGUUUUUAAAAAUUGGGCUAGUAGAGGAACUCAGAGUCCUAUCUCUAUUGGUGAAUUCAAUUCAAUAAACCUUAAUUUAGCCCCCACUUUGGGCAAGGUAGCAUUCAUAUAGAGUAAAAUGGUUUAAAAGAAGCACAUAUAGUUCUUAGGCUGAUAUGGGUAACUGAGCCCUUUUCUGAAGUAGCAAAACAGUAGUAGAAAUGGAUUCUUAUUGAGGAAUUACUGAAAAAAGUAAUAUGUGAAAAUAAAGACAUUAUCGCAUUACAUGAAAUUAUAAAUAUUAGAGAAACUAAUGGCACAGAAUGAAUUAAGCAAAAACAGAAGAAUAUACAGACUGCCUGAAAUAAUAGAGAUGAAGGUAACUGAGAAGAAAAUAAACACCAAGCAAUUAUAAUGAAUUGAUCAUGGUCUUGGAAAAUCAAUGAAAAAAUAAUUCCCUCCCUUUGAUAAGGAAGUAUGGGGAAGGGAAUAUGACCAUGAAAUGUAAUACACAAUAGGAGAUACCAUGCCUUUGCUGGUUUAUUUAAUUGGAUUUCCUAGUUAUACUACUGGAUUCAUUGGAUUUAUCUAGGUGGAUAUGGAAAUAAAAUGCUAGACUUGGAGUUAAAGAAGGCCUG